GACGAACGCUGGCGGCGUGCUUAACACAUGCAAGUCGAACGAAGAGCGACGGAAGCUUGCUUCUAUCAAUCUUAGUGGCGAACGGGUGAGUAACGCGUAAUCAACCUGCCCUUCAGAGGGGGACAACAGUUGGAAACGACUGCUAAUACCGCAUACGAUCUAACCUCGGCAUCGAGGAUAGAUGAAAGGUGGCCUCUAUAUGUAAGCUAUCACUGAAGGAGGGGAUUGCGUCUGAUUAGCUAGUUGGAGGGGUAACGGCCCACCAAGGCGAUGAUCAGUAGCCGGUCUGAGAGGAUGAACGGCCACAUUGGGACUGAGACACGGCCCAGACUCCUACGGGAGGCAGCAGUGGGGAAUCUUCCGCAAUGGACGAAAGUCUGACGGAGCAACGCCGCGUGAGUGAUGACGGCCUUCGGGUUGUAAAGCUCUGUUAAUCGGGACGAAAGGCCUUCUUGCGAAUAGUGAGAAGGAUUGACGGUACCGGAAUAGAAAGCCACGGCUAACUACGUG
rnacentral:rRNA from 1 species